rnacentral:tRNA from 1 species
GGAGGGGUGCCCGAGUGGUUAAAGGGAGCAGACUGUAAAUCUGCCGACCUGGUGUCUACAGAGGUUCGAAUCCUCUCCCCUCCACCA